UACGUAGGGUGCAAGCGUUAAUCGGAAUUACUGGGCGUAAAGCGUGCGCAGGCGGUUCGUUAAGUUCGUCGUGAAAGCCCCGGGCUCAACCUGGGAAUGGCGAUGGAAACUGGCGGGCUGGAGUGCGGCAGAGGGGGGUGGAAUUCCACGUGUAGCAGUGAAAUGCGUAGAGAUGUGGAGGAACACCGAUGGCGAAGGCAGCCCCCUGGGCCGACACUGACGCUCAGGCACGAAAGCGUGGGGAGCAAACAGG
rnacentral:rRNA from 1 species